rnacentral:rRNA from 1 species
UACGAAGGGGGCUAGCGUUGCUCGGAAUCACUGGGCGUAAAGCGCACGUAGGCGGAUUGCUAAGUCAGGGGUGAAAUCCUGGAGCUCAACUCCAGAACUGCCCUUGAUACUGGCGGUCUCGAGUCCGGGAGAGGUGAGUGGAACUGCGAGUGUAGAGGUGAAAUUCGUAGAUAUCGCAAGACACCAGUGGCGAAGGCGGC